rnacentral:rRNA from 1 species
UGGGGAAUAUUGCACAAUGGGCGCAAGCCUGAUGCAGCCAUGCCGCGUGUAUGAAGAAGGCCUUCGGGUUGUAAAGUACUUUCAGCGGGGAGGAAGGGAGUAAAGUUAAUACCUUUGCUCAUUGACGUUACCCGCAGAAGAAGCACCUGCUAACUCCGUGCCAGCAGCCGCGGUAAUACGGAGGGUGCAAGCGUUAAUCGGAAUUACUGGGCGUAAAGCGCACGCAGGCGGUCUGUCAAGUCGGAUGUGAAAUCCCCGGGCUCAACCUGGGAACUGCAUUCGAAACUGGCAGGCUAGAGUCUUGUAGAGGGGGGUAGAAUUCCAGGUGUAGCGGUGAAAUGCGUAGAGAUCUGGAGGAAUACCGGUGGCGAAGGCGGCCCCCUGGACAAAGACUGACGCUCAGGUGCGAAAGCGUGGGGAGCAAACAGG